rnacentral:rRNA from 1 species
UGGGGAAUAUUGCACAAUGGGCGCAAGCCUGAUGCAGCCAUGCCGCGUGUAUGAAGAAGGCCUUCGGGUUGUAAAGUACUUUCAGCGGGGAGGAAGGUGUUGAGGCUAAUAACCUCAGCAAUUGACGUUACCCGCAGAAGAAGCACCGGCUAACUCCGUGCCAGCAGCCGCGGUAAUACGGAGGGUGCAAGCGUUAAUCGGAAUUACUGGGCGUAAAGCGCACGCAGGCGGUCUGUCAAGUCCGAUGUGAAAUCCCCGGGCUCAACCUGGGAACUGCAUUCGAAACUGGCAGGCUAGAGUCUUGUAGAGGGGGGUAGAAUUCCAGGUGUAGCGGUGAAAUGCGUAGAGAUCUGGAGGAAUACCGGUGGCGAAGGCGGCCCCCUGGACAAAGACUGACGCUCAGGUGCGAAAGCGUGGGGAGCAAACA